ensembl:lncRNA
UUCUGACUCCCACCUCCCCUGACAACCUCCUCAGCCCCGUCCUCCUCCUCAGCCCCUAAAUCAAGCCUACAAUCCGGAUGUUUGAUGCUGGCUCUGGCAGACAAUAACUUUCCAUGGGUUUUACAGAGAGAGGACAGGAGACCCUCUCCGUCAGCAACACCAAGAUCACGACCAGGAGAAGAACACGUUCAGCUGAGACCUUGUAAGUAGGAUACAAACCUUUAUACUACAAAAUGAUGCAUAGCUCAGUUGGUAGAGCAUGGCACAUGCAGUGCCAGGAUAGUGGGUUUGAUUCCUGUGACCACUCAUAUGUAAAAAAUGUAUGCGUGCAUGGCUGUAAGUCGCUUUGGAUAAAAGCAUAUUCUAAAUGGCAUAUUCUGUAUCAUAUUAUACAUUGAAUGUGUCUUUCAACUAAAUGUGUUUUGAAAUUGCUGUACGCUAAAGGUUGUAUGGAACAUGGCUCAAGUAAAGUGUAACCCACAGUUUUUGACAGCCAGUGAUAGAAAUAUAAUAUGUGAUUAUUUAAAUUCACUGAAGUGUUUAGUGGUCUCUGUUUAAUAAGGCCCAAGAGUGAAUAGAACAACAUUUAUGCAAUGAGAAAUAACACUGAAUUCAUUGAAUGUACCAAGUGUAAUUCACUGUAUCUGGGCGGGGGUUUCAUUUCAACAUCCAGAGUAAUUGUUAACGUGUGUAAACUCUGGAAGAAAAGAAAGCAGGAUGAAUUAUGGCUCCAGGAAGUGUGAUGGAAGAGUUUGUGAAACAUUCGGUCGGUCCUGUGUCUGGAAUUCUUCAACACACAGGUCCAGAAAUAAUACUCGCUUUAUCUCUCUGCCGCACUGCUCGUCCACCUAUAUCAAUACAGUACACUUUUGGUGUCACGAGAACCUUUAAUCUCCAAAAACAUAACAUUUUCAUGGAACAACCUCGUAUUUCCUUGUAGGAUAGAGAUCUGGCGUGUUCUAAAAUGUUGAUGUUUAUUUUAGCCGACAGUGAUGAAACUGUCUUCUUCUUUGAUUAGCCCUAAACGCAGAGGAUGAAGGUGCAGACUUACCAUUAUGCUCUCACAUUAUAAGCUUUUGUACCCACUGUAUUAUCCUUCUCCCUAAAG